rnacentral:tRNA from 1 species
AGUAAAGUGCCCGAAAUUCAAGGAUUAUCUUGAUAGGAUAAAUUAUGUAGUUAGCUACCUUUACUA